rnacentral:rRNA from 1 species
UACGGAGGAUCCAAGCGUUAUCCGGAAUCAUUGGGUUUAAAGGGUCCGUAGGCGGCCCUGUAAGUCAGUGGUGAAAUCUCCCGGCUCAACCGGGAAAUUGCCAUUGAUACUGCAGGGCUUGAAUUAUCGGGAAGCAACUAGAAUAUGUAGUGUAGCGGUGAAAUGCUUAGAUAUUACAUGGAAUACCGAUUGCGAAGGCAGGUUGCUGGCGGUGGAUUGACGCUGAUGGACGAAAGCGUGGGGAGCGAACAGG